rnacentral:misc_RNA from 1 species
GAUGAAGAACGUAGCGAAAUGCGAUACUUGGUGUGAAUUGCAGAAUCCCGUGAACCAUCGAGUCUUUGAACGCAAGUUGCGCCCGAAGCCAUUAGGCCGAGGGCACGUCUGCCUGGGCGUCACACAACGUUGCCCCCCCAAACCUUGACUUCCAAGAGGACGGGGGGCGGAUGUUGGCCUCCCGUGCGCCACGGCUCGCGGUUGGCCCAAAUGCGAGUACUCGGCGACGAGCGCCGCGGCAAUCGGUGGUUGUCCAACCCUCGGUGCCAUGCUGCGCGCGCUAGCCGCUCACUGUUACUCGACGACCCCAAUGCGUCGUAGCCACGACGCUCACAACGCGACCCCAGGUCAGGCGGGGCUACCCGCUGAGUUUAAGCAUAUCAAUAAGCGGAGGA